rnacentral:rRNA from 1 species
UACGGAGGGUGCAAGCGUUAUCCGGAUUUACUGGGUUUAAAGGGUGCGCAGGCGGAUAUGUAAGUCAGUGGUGAAAUCUCCGGGCUUAACCCGGAACUGCCGUUGAUACUAUAUAUCUUGAGUGCUGUGGAGGUAAGCAGAAUAUGUCAUGUAGCGGUGAAAUGCUUAGAGAUGACAUAGAAUACCUAUUGCGAAGGCAGCUUACUACGCAGAUAUUGACGCUCAUGCACGAAAGCGUGGGGAUCAAACAGG